CUUCCCUUUCCGCUCGCCGCUGCCCCACGCGGAGCGCGACUGCCGUCACCCGACAGGACUUUCUUCUGGUUCACCCCUGCAUACCGAGUGCUGAGAACGGGCAGCGCAUAGGAGGAACGCAGUCCCUACCUGUCACAUAGAUGCAGGUUGUCUUGCCAAAUAGAACUCCACCUGGGCACCCUGAGAGGGGUGGCUCAGGCCGGGGCAGGCCUGCUGGGCCAGGACCAGGAUCACUCACUCCAGGGGAAGCUGGCUGCUGAGUCAUGAAGAGGUCCAUGCAGCCCUCCGGAGAAGCCCAUGGGAGACACUGAGGCCUCCAGCCAACAGCGACCAACCCCUUGCUAGGGGUGAGGAAGACUCUUGGAAGACUGUUCAGCCCCAGAAAGCCUUGAGGUGAUCAUGGCUUAGACCAGCAUCUUAGCUGCAACCUCAUGGGAGACCUAGAGGCAGAGCCAUCCAGCUGGGCCAUUCCCUGGCUCCUGCCCUGCAGAAGCCCUGUGAUACCGUAUAAUUUGAGACAUUACUCAGUUCUAAGCUCAGAGAGGAGACUUCUUUUCAAGGUCAUUGCAUACGGUUGAGCAAGUUGGCCACUGCACAAACAUGCCCAGCAGAGUUGAUUUUCCAGCAAACCUUCAGAGGGAGAAGGAGAAAUUGUCCCUCGGCCCCUACAGUUUUGGCACUGUGAGCAGGAGACUGACACCAUUCUGCUCUCCUGGGAGCUGCAGUGAAGGAAACCCAGGACCUGACAAACUGGCAGAAGGAACAGAAGCCUAUGAUGCAGAUGUGGCCAAUCAGUGCCCUGGGGCUCCAGCAGCAGUGCAGGAAUGCGGAACUGAUCAUAAAGAUCCAACCAGCAUGAAGAAAUUCUGACACUGGAGGAAGGGCUACCGGGAGAAAACAUUUCUCUUUUCCCCAGCCAGCUGUCAGCUAGCCUGAGAGAAUGUGAGGCUGGGGCUACCAUCUUGCCACUAUGAAGAGAGAACCUGCUGAGCAAGGAGGCAACACAGAGCCAGAUAUGGAGAGAAAUAAGCAGUCUUGGAAUGCUGUUUCAUCCUCUGGAUCAAACCAUUCCUGAAGAUGCACUCGAUGGCCACAGGCCAAAGUCAGUGUCUCCUGGAGUGGCAGCUCUGAGACGUGUCCACAUGGGACCACAGUGUAGAGAAGCCACACACCACCAUGGUGCUCCUGAACCAGAAGAGAUCAUGGGCUUCUAUAGAGGGGGGUGAGCCAGGUACAAGGCAGUGGAGUAGGAAAACCUGGGCUGGGGCCAGCCACAGUGACUCACACCUGUAAACCCAGCGCUUUGGGAAACAAAGGUGGAAGGAUCGCUUGAACCC
rnacentral:lncRNA from 1 species